rnacentral:rRNA from 1 species
GCGUCUUAAGCAUGCAAGUCAAACGGGAUGUAGCAAUACAUCUAGUGGCGAACGGGUGAGUAACGCGUGGAUGAUCUACCUACGAGAUGGGGAUAACUACUAGAAAUAGUAGCUAAUACCGAAUAAAGUCAAUCAAUUUGUUAAUUGAUGAAAGGAAGCCUUUAAAGCUUCGCUUGUAGAUGAGUCUGCGUCUUAUUAGUUAGUUGGUAGGGUAAAUGCCUACCAAGGCGAUGAUAAGUAACCGGCCUGAGAGGGUGAACGGUCACACUGGAACUGAGAUACGGUCCAGACUCCUACGGGAGGCAGCAGCUAAGAAUCUUCCGCAAUGGGCGAAAGCCUGACGGAGCGACACUGCGUGAAUGAAGAAGGUCGAAAGAUUGUAAAAUUCUUUUAUAAAUGAGGAAUAAGCUUUGUAGGAAAUGACGAAGUGAUGACGUUAAUUUAUGAAUAAGCCCCGGCUAAUUACGUGCCAGCAGCCGCGGUAAUACGUAAGGGGCGAGCGUUGUUCGGGAUUAUUGGGCGUAAAGGGUGAGUAGGCGGAUAUAUAAGUCUAUGCAUAAAAUACCACAGCUCAACUGUGGAACUAUGUUGGAAACUAUAUGUCUAGAGUCUGAUAGAGGAAGUUAGAAUUUCUGGUGUAAGGGUGGAAUCUGUUGAUAUCAGAAAGAAUACCGGAGGCGAAGGCGAACUUCUGGGUCAAGACUGACGCUGAGUCACGAAAGCGUAGGGAGCAAACAGGAUUAGAUACCCUGGUAGUCUACGCUGUAAACGAUGCACACUUGGUGUUAACUAAAAGUUAGUACCGAAGCUAACGUG